rnacentral:rRNA from 1 species
UGGGGAAUAUUGCGCAAUGGGGGCAACCCUGACGCAGCCAUGCCGCGUGUGUGAAGAAGGCCCUAGGGUUGUAAAGCUCUUUCAACGGUGAAGAUAAUGACGGUAACCGUAGAAGAAGCCCCGGCUAACUUCGUGCCAGCAGCCGCGGUAAUACGAAGGGGGCUAGCGUUGUUCGGAUUUACUGGGCGUAAAGCGCACGUAGGCGGCCAAUUAAGUCAGAGGUGAAAUCCCCGAGCUCAACUUGGGAACUGCCUUUGAUACUGAUUGGCUAGAGUUCGGGAGAGGGUAGUGGAAUUCCCAGUGUAGAGGUGAAAUUCGUAGAUAUUGGGAAGAACACCAGUGGCGAAGGCGGCUACCUGGCUCGAUACUGACGCUGAGGUGCGAAAGUGUGGGGAGCAAACAGGAUUAGAUACCCUGGUAGUCCACGCUGUAAACGAUGGGUACUCGGUGUUGCGGGUAUCGA